UUUCCGUAGGUGAACCUGCGGAAGGACCAUUCAUAAUAAGUGUUUUAUGGCACUUUUUUAAAUCCAUAUCCACCUUGUGUGCAAUGUCAGGGUUGAUUUCUCUCUCGAGAGGAUCAACCCCAAACAUCAACUAUAUCUCAACUCUUUGUCUGAAAAAUAUUAUGAAUAAAACAAUUCAAAAUACAACUUUCAACAACGGAUCUCUUGGCUCUC
rnacentral:misc_RNA from 1 species